rnacentral:tRNA from 1 species
GAGCUGUAGCUCAGGGGUUGAGCAGCUGCUUUGCAUGCAGAAGGUCCCAAGUUCAAUCCCCAGUGGCACCU